rnacentral:rRNA from 1 species
UACAGAGGGUGCAAGCGUUAAUCGGAGUUACUGGGCGUAAAGGGCGCGUAGGCGGUUAAUCAAGUGAGUGGCGAAAUCCCUGGGCUUAACCUAGGAAUUGCCACUUAGACUGGUAGACUGGAGUACAGUAGAGGGUGGUGGAAUUUCCGGUGUAGCGGUGAAAUGCGUAGAGAUCGGAAGGAACAUCAGUGGCGAAGGCGACCACCUGGACUGAAACUGACGCUGAGGCGCGAAAGCGUGGGGAGCAAACAGG